AGAGUUUGAUCAUGGCUCAGAACGAACGCUGGCGGCGUGGAUAAGACAUGCAAGUCGAGCGGGAUUUCUUUUGGUAGCAAUACCGAAGGAAGUCUAGCGGCGAACGGGUGCUUAACACGUGGGCAACCUGCCAAGAAGUGGGGGAUAGCUCGCCGAAAGGCGAAUUAAUACCGCAUGUGAUUAGAGAGGACAUCCUUUCGAAAUCAAAGUCGGGGCAACCUGACGCUUUUUGUGGGGCCCGCGGCCUAUCAGCUAGUUGGUGAGGUAACGGCCCACCAAGGCUUUGACGGGUAGCUGGUCUGAGAGGACGACCAGCCACACUGGGACUGAGACACGGCCCAGACACCUACGGGUGGCAGCAGUCGAGAAUUUUUGACAAUGGGGGAAACCCUGAUCGAGCGACGCCGCGUGGAGGAUGAAGGUCUUCGGAUUGUAAACUCCUGUCAUUGGGGAACAAGGUGCAUACGUUAACUGCGUGUGUAUUGAUAGUACCCGAAGAGGAAGAGACGGCUAACUCUGUGCCAGCAGCCGCGGUAAUACAGAGGUCUCAAGCGUUGUUCGGAUUCAUUGGGCGUAAAGGGUGCGUAGGCGGCGCGGUAAGUCGGGUGUGAAAUCUCGGGGCUUAACUCCGAAACUGCAUUCGAUACUGCCGUGCUUGAGGACUGGAGAGGAGACUGGAAUUUACGGUGUAGCGGUGAAAUGCGUAGAUAUCGUAAGGAAGACCAGUGGCGAAGGCGGGUCUCUGGACAGUUCCUGACGCUGAGGCACGAAGGUCAGGGGAGCAAACGGGAUUAGAUACCCUAGUAGUCC
rnacentral:rRNA from 1 species